GGGUUGUGAGGUUAAGCGACUAAGCGUACACGGUGGAUGCCCUGGCAGUCAGAGGCGAUGAAGGACGUGCUAAUCUGCGAAAAGCGUCGGUAAGGUGAUAUGAACCGUUAUAACCGGCGAUGUCCGAAUGGGGAAACCCAGUGCAAUUCGUUGCACUAUCGUUAACUGAAUACAUAGGUUAACGAGGCGAACCGGGGGAACUGAAACAUCUAAGUACCCCGAGGAAAAGAAAUCAACCGAGAUUCCCCCAGUAGCGGCGAGCGAACGGGGAGCAGCCCAGAGUCUGAAUCAGCUUGUGUGUUAGUGGAACGGUCUGGAAAGUCCGACGGUACAGGGUGAUAGUCCCGUACACCAAAAUGCACAGGCUGUGAACUCGAAGAGUAGGGCGGGACACGUGGUAUCCUGUCUGAAUAUGGGGGGACCAUCCUCCAAGGCUAAAUACUCCUGACUGACCGAUAGUGAACCAGUACCGUGAGGGAAAGGCGAAAAGAACCCCGGCGAGGGGAGUGAAAAAGAACCUGAAACCGUGUACGUACAAGCAGUGGGAGCACCUUCGGGUGUGACUGCGUACCUUUUGUAUAAUGGGUCAGCGACUUAUAUUCUGUAGCAAGGUUAACCAUAUAGGGGAGCCGCAGGGAAACCGAGUCUUAACUGGGCGUUAAGUUGCAGGGUAUAGACCCGAAACCCGGUGAUCUAGCCAUGGGCAGGUUGAAGGUUGGGUAACACUAACUGGAGGACCGAACCGACUAAUGUUGAAAAAUUAGCGGAUGACUUGUGGCUGGGGGUGAAAGGCCAAUCAAACCGGGAGAUAGCUGGUUCUCCCCGAAAGCUAUUUAGGUAGCGCCUCGUGAAUUCAUCUUCGGGGGUAGAGCACUGUUUCGGCUAGGGGGUCAUCCCGACUUACCAACCCGAUGCAAACUACGAAUACCGAAGAAUGUUAUCACGGGAGACACACGGCGGGUGCUAACGUCCGUCGUGAAGAGGGAAACAACCCAGACCGCCAGCUAAGGUCCCAAAGUCAUGGUUAAGUGGGAAACGAUGUGGGAAGGCACAGACAGCCAGGAUGUUGGCUUAGAAGCAGCCAUCAUUUAAAGAAAGCGUAAUAGCUCACUGGUCGAGUCGGCCUGCGCGGAAGAUGUAACGGGGCUAAACCAUGCACCGAAGCUGCGGCAGCGACACUAUGUGUUGUUGGGUAGGGGAGCGUUCUGUAAGCCUGCGAAGGUGACCUGUGAGGGUUGCUGGAGGUAUCAGAAGUGCGAAUGCUGACAUAAGUAACGAUAAAGCGGGUGAAAAGCCCGCUCGCCGGAAGACCAAGGGUUCCUGUCCAACGUUAAUCGGGGCAGGGUGAGUCGACCCCUAAGGCGAGGCCGAAAGGCGUAGUCGAUGGGAAACAGGUUAAUAUUCCUGUACUUGGUGUUACUGCGAAGGGGGGACGGAGAAGGCUAUGUUAGCCGGGCGACGGUUGUCCCGGUUUAAGCAUGUAGGCUGGUUAUCCAGGCAAAUCCGGAUAAUCAAGGCUGAGGUGUGAUGACGAGGCACUACGGUGCUGAAGUAACAAAUGCCCUGCUUCCAGGAAAAGCCUCUAAGCAUCAGGUAACAUUAAAUCGUACCCCAAACCGACACAGGUGGUCAGGUAGAGAAUACCAAGGCGCUUGAGAGAACUCGGGUGAAGGAACUAGGCAAAAUGGUGCCGUAACUUCGGGAGAAGGCACGCUGGUGUGUAGGUGAAGUCCCUGCGGAUGGAGCUGAGACCAGUCGAAGAUACCAGCUGGCUGCAACUGUUUAUUAAAAACACAGCACUGUGCAAACACGAAAGUGGACGUAUACGGUGUGACGCCUGCCCGGUGCCGGAAGGUUAAUUGAUGGGGUUAUCCGUAAGGAGAAGCUCUUGAUCGAAGCCCCGGUAAACGGCGGCCGUAACUAUAACGGUCCUAAGGUAGCGAAAUUCCUUGUCGGGUAAGUUCCGACCUGCACGAAUGGCGUAAUGAUGGCCAGGCUGUCUCCACCCGAGACUCAGUGAAAUUGAACUCGCUGUGAAGAUGCAGUGUACCCGCGGCAAGACGGAAAGACCCCGUGAACCUUUACUAUAGCUUGACACUGAACAUUGAGCCUUGAUGUGUAGGAUAGGUGGGAGGCUUUGAAGCGUGGACGCCAGUCUGCGUGGAGCCAACCUUGAAAUACCACCCUUUAAUGUUUGAUGUUCUAACGUUGGCCCCUGACCGGGGUUGCGGACAGUGUCUGGUGGGUAGUUUGACUGGGGCGGUCUCCUCCCAAAGCGUAACGGAGGAGCACGAAGGUUAGCUAAUCCUGGUCGGACAUCAGGAGGUUAGUGCAAUGGCAUAAGCUAGCUUGACUGCGAGCGUGACGGCGCGAGCAGGUGCGAAAGCAGGUCAUAGUGAUCCGGUGGUUCUGAAUGGAAGGGCCAUCGCUCAACGGAUAAAAGGUACUCCGGGGAUAACAGGCUGAUACCGCCCAAGAGUUCAUAUCGACGGCGGUGUUUGGCACCUCGAUGUCGGCUCAUCACAUCCUGGGGCUGAAGUAGGUCCCAAGGGUAUGGCUGUUCGCCAUUUAAAGUGGUACGCGAGCUGGGUUUAGAACGUCGUGAGACAGUUCGGUCCCUAUCUGCCGUGGGCGCUGGAGAAUUGAGGGGGGCUGCUCCUAGUACGAGAGGACCGGAGUGGACGCAUCACUGGUGUUCGGGUUGUCAUGCCAAUGGCACUGCCCGGUAGCUAAAUGCGGAAGAGAUAAGUGCUGAAAGCAUCUAAGCACGAAACUUGCCCCGAGAUGAGUUCUCCCUGAGACUUUAAGUCUCCUGAAGGAACGUUAAAGACGAUGACGUUGAUAGGCCGGGUGUGUAAGCGCAGCGAUGCGUUGAGCUAACCGGUACUAAUGAACCGUGAGGCUUAACCUUACAACGCCGAAG
rnacentral:rRNA from 1 species